rnacentral:rRNA from 1 species
CCCUUAGAUGUCCGGGGCCGCACGCGCGCUACACUGAAGGAAUCAGCGUGGCUCUGUCCCUGGUCCGAAAGGAUUGGGAAACCCGUUGAAUCUCCUUCGUGAUAGGGAUUGGGGCUUGGAACUGUUCCCCAUGAACGAGGAAUUCCCAGUAAGCGCGAGUCAUAAGCUCGCAUUGAUUACGUCCCUGCCCUUUGUACACACCGCCCGUCGCACCUACCGAUUGAAUGGUCCGGUGAAAUCUCGGGACGGCGGCUUGGUCGCUUGCGUCCGACUGCUGAAACUUGAUUAAACCAUAUCAUUUAGAGGAAGGUGAAGUCGUAACA